rnacentral:rRNA from 1 species
AUAGGCGGCGAUAGCGCGGUGGUCCCACCUGACCCCAUGCCGAACUCAGAAGUGAAACGCCGUAGCGCCGAUGGUAGUGUGGGGCUUCCCCAUGUGAGAGUAGGGAACUGCCAGGC